CAAAUCUGACAUGCGGUAAAAGUGUUUAUCAGGUCAAGAUCUAUCUGUCCUGAAAUUUUCAGAUGAAUCGGACAACCUGUUGUUGGGUUGCUGCCCCUGAAUUGGUAAUUUUAAGGAAAUUUUGCUGUUUUUGGUUAUUAUCUUGAAUAUUAUUAUAGAUAGAGAUAAACUGUAAACAGCAAUAAUGUUCAGCAAAGUAAGAUUUACAAAUAAGUCAGCAUGACCAAAAUGGUCAGUUGACCCCUGAAGGAGUUAUUGCCCUUUAUAGUCAAUUUUUAACCAUUUUUUCGUAAAUCUUAGUUAUCUUUUACAAAAAUCUUCUUCUCUGAAACUACUGGGCCAAAUUAAACUAAACUUGGCCACAGUCAUCAUUGGGGGGUAACUUGUUUAAAAAAUGUGUGGCGUGACCUGGCCAAUCAACCAAAAUGGCUGCCACGGCUAAUAAUAGAACAUAGGGGUAAAAUGCAGUUUUUUGGCUUAUAACUCAAAAACCGAAGCAUUAAGAGAAAAUCUGACAGUGUUUAAUUGUUUAUCAGGUCAAGAUCUAUCUGCCCUGAUGUUUUCACAUGGAUCGGAUAACCCGUUGUUAGG
rnacentral:lncRNA from 1 species